UAAUCUGGGCAAACGCUAUAUUCUUUGUAAUAUAGAGGAAAGUCCAUGCUCGCACAAUCUGUGAUGAUUGUAGUGUUUGUGCAUAGGGAUGACUUAUGGUAAGUUUUUAAACUUAACGGCUUCGAGGUAACCUAAGUUUUUAUUAAUAUGGUUAUAUUAGAUAUAAAAGUGCCAUAGUGACGAGUAAUCUGGAAACGGUGGAAGUGGAACGUGGUAAACCCCACAAGCGAGAAACCCAAAUAAUGGUAGGGGAGUCUAAGGUUUGAUAAUUAAGAAUUGAACUUGGAAUUGAGUAAUCAAUAGAUAAAUGUUUGCCGCCUUUUUAAGGUACAGAACAUGGCUUAUAAGA
rnacentral:RNase_P_RNA from 1 species